rnacentral:ncRNA from 1 species
CAUCUUCAGGGCGGGGUGAAAGUCCCCACCGGCGGUGAUGGCAGCAGCCUUAAGUCCGCGACCGCGCAAGCGUUGAACCGGUGCAAAUCCGGUACCGACAGUUACAGUCUGGAUGGGAGAAGAUG